GAUGAACGCUGGCGGCGUGCCUAAUACAUGCAAGUCGAGCGAACAGACGAGGAGCUUGCUCCUCUGACGUUAGCGGCGGACGGGUGAGUAACACGUGGAUAACCUACCUAUAAGACUGGGAUAACUUCGGGAAACCGGAGCUAAUACCGGAUAAUAUAUUGAACCGCAUGGUUCAAUAGUGAAAGACGGUUUUGCUGUCACUUAUAGAUGGAUCCGCGCCGCUUUAGCUGGUUGGUCAGGUAACGGCUUACCAAGGCGACGAUGCGUAGCCGAACUGAGAGGGUGGUCGCCCACACUGGAACUGGGCCACCGUCCAGGCUCCUACGGGAGGCAGCAGUAGGGAAUCUUACGCAAUGGGCGAAAGCUUUACGGAGCAACGCCGCGUGAGUGAUGAAGGUCUUCGGUUCGUAAAACUCUGUUAUUAGUGAAGAACAAAUGUGUCAGUAACUAUGCACGUAUUGACGGUACCUAAUCAGAAAGCCACGGCUAACUACGUG
rnacentral:rRNA from 1 species